GGUGAAAGCGAUCCCGCUCCGGCCCAGGGGGCAGCCUGCUGCGGGUGGCUUGUUCCUUUCAGGCGGCCACGCUCCCGUCCAGGUAUCGGGAGGCCCGGCUGGGAAGCACGCUCCUUGGUGCAACUUCAUACCAGGACAUUCGAGAGGGUUAUGGGAAACUAUUUUUCUCUUACUCUGUCAUCUGGAAUGACACGGAUUCAGGGCGUGUAAAAAGCGUGUCCUUUAAUUUAUGGCGACAUAAACAAACCUGAGCAGCCUGGACUGAAAAUCAGAGAUGAAGGUGAUAGGAGAGAAGCGUCGGCGUGGAUAAUGCUGUUAACAUCCUUUUACCUCCUGUGACGGGGCUCCGGGAGGGAUGGCUUCGGCACGCGGGGUCUUUGCAACAUGUUCUGCUCACGUUAAAACUGUAGAAAUAGCAGUCUUUGUUUACUUCCUGCAUUGGAAGAGGGUGUUUUUAAGAGCCGAAGGAAAGCGCUUCACUGGCAAGGAUUGGAGAAUAAGAAGUCAGUCUACAUUCAGAAAAGCGUAUAUAGCAGGCAUGGAGCUAUAAAGCUGCGUCCCAUGAACCCUGUCCUUUAAGAGCUUAGAGUCUCCUGGAAAACCCAAGAUGGGAGCAUAAAUAGCUGUGAGAUAAAGUGAAAAGGAGGCGCUACAGGAAAGGAACCCCAGAAAGUGGUCCACUAGCAGAAUGAUGAUGACUCCUGGAACUUUCUCUGAUUCUCAUUCUCCCUCCUACCUUGCUCAUCAUCUUAUGUAUUCA